rnacentral:misc_RNA from 1 species
GUGAAUCAUCAAAUUUUUGAACGCAAAUUGCACUCUCCUCGGAGAGUAUGCCUGUUUGAGGGUCAGCCUAUAAAAAUAGACAUCGUUGCUGUUUCGCGGUGGCGUUAGUCGGAAAUUGGGUCAUCUUAAAUAUUUUUGAUUUAAGAGACUUAAAAUUAUCUUUUGGUUCCACGAACGUUUCUAAGAUCUAUUUCUUUACACGUUUAUGGUAUCGAUUUUUACUAGACGUGAUCAACAUAUAGGAUCGAGUCAAUAAUAUU